UACACUCUCAAGUGUUGGAAAAACAGAAAAUCCACUCCAUACACAAGGAGCAAGUUUAGAGAAACACAAUUCGAAAUGCUUCCACACACCAUAACAUGAAACAACACUGAAUCAAAUUCAAAUUUCAUCUCUUCAAUUUUCAAUUUCUUCUCGAUUCAAACCCUCCAACACCUGUAGAUCUGUACAAAAAAACCUUCCAUUUCUCUUCAUCCCAAUUUACCCAAUUUUUUUUGGGAUUCUUGUAGUUGUAUCAUACCCUUAGAAAUUUCACAUUUUUCUUCUCAGAUUUCGUUACUUUAGCCUUUAAUCUUUAAUCUUUAAUCGUUAACCCCAUUUUGAGAAAUCACCGUUCGAGGGGUUCGGCUUUAGUAUCAUUUCAGUGAUUUUGAAGAAACCCUAGCUUAUUGGUUGAGUUUAGCUUACUGUACAUUCUUUUUCGGUAGAAUUUUUUUGGGAUUUGAAUCUGUAACAUGAACAAUAGAGCGAGAUAUCCACUUGGGAAUGGGUUAGGUCGAGGUGGUGGUGGUGGAGGGUUUCAACAGAGACCAAAUCAACAACAGUAUGUGCAGAGGCACAUGAUGCAAAAUCAGCAUCCACAACAACAAUACCAGCAGCAUCAACAGAAUCAACAAUAUCAGCAGCAGCAGCAACAACAACAGUGGCUGAGAAGGAACCAGUUGAGUGGAACUGACACCAGUGUUGUGGAGGAGGUCGAGAAGACUGUGCAGUCUGAAACAAACGACUCUAGUUCACAAGAUUGGAAGGCAAGACUAAAGAUUCCACCAGCUGAUACACGCUAUAGGACAGAGGAUGUGACAGCAACUAAAGGAAAUGAGUUUGAGGAUUACUUUUUGAAGCGUGAGCUGCUAAUGGGAAUAUAUGAGAAGGGGUUUGAAAGGCCAUCCCCUAUCCAAGAAGAAAGCAUUCCAAUUGCCCUUACUGGUAGUGACAUUCUUGCUAGGGCUAAAAAUGGAACAGGCAAAACAGCUGCAUUUUGCGUUCCUGCAUUGGAAAAAAUUGAUCAAGAUAACAAUGUUAUUCAAGUUGUUAUACUGGUUCCAACACGAGAAUUGGCUUUGCAAACAUCUCAAGUAUGUAAAGAGCUUGCAAAACAUUUGCAAAUUCAAGUUAUGGUCACAACAGGCGGUACAAGCCUGAAAGACGACAUUAUGCGUUUAUAUCAACCUGUCCAUCUGCUAGUUGGUACUCCGGGAAGAAUUUUGGAUCUUGCAAAGAAGGGUGUCUGCGUUCUGAAAGAUUGUUCUAUGCUUGUGAUGGAUGAGGCUGAUAAACUUCUCUCCCCAGAGUUCCAGCCUUCAAUUGAGCAGCUGAUUCAAUUUCUUCCCUCAAGUCGUCAAAUCCUUAUGUUUUCAGCUACAUUUCCUGUUACUGUAAAGGAUUUCAAAGAUAGAUAUCUUCGUAAGCCGUAUAUCAUUAAUCUUAUGGACGAGCUAACUCUGAAGGGUAUUACCCAAUUUUAUGCAUUUGUGGAGGAGAGGCAGAAAGUCCACUGCCUAAAUACUCUUUUCUCUAAGCUGCAAAUAAACCAGUCAAUCAUCUUCUGCAAUUCGGUUAAUCGGGUUGAACUCCUUGCCAAGAAAAUCACAGAACUAGGGUAUUCAUGUUUCUAUAUUCAUGCUAAGAUGUUGCAAGACCACCGUAAUAGAGUUUUUCACGACUUCCGCAAUGGUGCCUGCAGAAAUCUUGUUUGUACUGAUCUUUUCACUAGGGGAAUAGAUAUCCAAGCAGUGAAUGUUGUUAUUAAUUUUGAUUUUCCCAAGAACUCGGAGACAUAUCUGCACAGGGUUGGCCGAUCAGGGAGGUUUGGACACCUUGGUUUAGCAGUGAACUUAAUAACCUAUGAGGAUCGUUUCAAUUUGUAUAGGAUUGAACAAGAACUUGGCACUGAAAUAAAACAAAUUCCCCCAUUCAUUGAUCAGGCCAUAUAUUGUCGGUGACUGGUGGUAAAUACCCUGUUUGUAUUCUCAACUGUGGUGAAUAGCAUCAUCGCAUGACCUGAUUGUCACGCAAGCAGGUGUGAAUGCGCUGCACGAGGAUUCAAUAAGUUAGGGUAUUUGUUAGACCCCUUUGUUGAAUGUUUUGUUAUUUAUUUAUGCUUUUAAGAGCCCUGGAAAAAUAAUUAGAACCUAAAGUUUAAUAAUGGGUUUUUAAAUGCCAGACAUAUGCUUGGCUCCUUGGAUUGCAUUUGCAAAUUGGUUAUUAUUAAUUGUUAUUACUCUAGAUUUUCCCAUCUUGUUGGCCAACUGUUUACAAGUGUGCCUUACUGUGAUGACUUCCCUUCACACUGGCUAUUUCCAUUAUGACAUUUGAGUCUUUUGAUUUCUCA